rnacentral:rRNA from 1 species
ACGAACGCUGGCGGCGUGCUUAACACAUGCAAGUCGAACGGAAAGGCCCUGCUUUUGUGGGGUGCUCGAGUGGCGAACGGGUGAGUAACACGUGAGUAACCUGCCCUUGACUUUGGGAUAACUUCAGGAAACUGGGGCUAAUACCGGAUAGGAGCUCCUGCUGCGUGGUGGGGGUUGGAAAGUUUCGGCGGUUGGGGAUGGACUCGCGGCUUAUCAGCUUGUUGGUGGGGUAGUGGCUUACCAAGGCUUUGACGGGUAGCCGGCCUGAGAGGGUGACCGGCCACAUUGGGACUGAGAUACGGACCAGACUCCUACGGGAGGCAGCAGUGGGGAAUAUUGCACAAUGGGCGGAAGCCUGAUGCAGCAACGCCGCGUGCGGGAUGACGGCCUGCGGGUUGUAAACCGCUUUCGCCUGUGACGAAGCGUGAGUGACGGUAAUGGGUAAAGAAGCACCGGCUAACUACGUG